rnacentral:lncRNA from 1 species
UAUAGAGGUGCUUUCUUGUAUUCUAAUAUUAACUUUUAUCAUUGGGUAAUGUGUAACAACACACUUUGGAAGCAAACACUAAUGGGUGUUUUAGCUUACCCGGUUUUCAUCCCGGUCCUAUUAAGAUCCGGGUUGUAUCUUCCUUGUGAAAUAAUGUUUCACUACCUUUUUUUUCCUAACGUUAAUCAUUGGAUCGCACAAUAACUGCAUCGGGAUCUCUGCAGACAUAUAGAAGCAAGAGGUUGGAGUGCUUUGAGAUCUAUAUAAGGUACGAUCUAAUGGUUGACGUAGCAAAAGAAGAUCAAUCAUUCUUUCAUGUGUGGGUUGUUUUUCCUCGUACAGCCAACUAUGUGGCCUUCAAUCAAGUGUGUGGGUUGUUUGGUUAUAGAGAGCGUGGGAAGCACAAGUUUUGGGCCACUACAGGUUACAAUAUAAAAGCUUUUCCAAUGAAUCCAGAGAUGGAACGAAAAGCAUUGCCG